UGGGGUAUGGCUCAGUGGCAGAGCAUGUGCUUAGCAUGUACAAGGCCCUGGGUUCAAUCCCCAGCACCAAAA
rnacentral:tRNA from 1 species